rnacentral:lncRNA from 1 species
UUCCUUUUGUUCCUGCAGCACCAAAGCACCACCAGACCCCAUUUUCCAACUGCAGGGCAGCACAAAGGGUUGUGUCCCAGGGCUGCCCCCUCCAAAAUCCUCUCCCCUCCUCAGUCAGCACUGAGUGGGAACGUAGGGAUGGGGAAUGGUUGGGCUGGGAUUGCGGGAGAGCUGGGGCGGCUCGGCCUGCAGAAGAGGAGGCUCAGGGGGAUCCCAGGCACGGCCAUCAGUCCCUGCAGGGAGGUGCAGAGAGUUCUGAGCUGGGCUGCACCCAGCGGUGCCCAGCAGCAGGACCAGAGGCGCCGGGCACACACUGCAGCACAGCUGUGGUUGCAGCAUGACAAGAGCUGCAGCUCCUCCUCACUGAUGGUCUACAUCCCCAGCACUGCUGCCAAUGCCCCGUCCCGGUGGUCCGGGUGUGGGACGGUAACCCCCUGCCACUUCCUUCCACUGAAGAAGAGUGCAGAGGAAGCAGUGGAGGUGCCCAGGAGCAGCCAGGCCUGUCGAGCACCUCUGGGAGGCAGAGGCCGCGCUCGUUGUCCAGGGGGCAGCUCCCAGCCCCUCAAGGUGGUACCUGUGGGCAAUGGGGCUGCAGGGCCU